CCGGAUUGGAGUCUGCAACUCGACUCCAUGAAGUCGGAAUCGCUAGUAAUCGUGGAUCAGAAUGCCACGGUGAAUACGUUCCCGGGCCUUGUACACACCGCCCGUCACACCAUGGGAGUGGGCUGCAAAAGAAGUGGGUAGUUUAACCUUCGGGAGGACGCUCACCACUUUGUGGUUCAUGACUGGGGUGAAGUCGUAACAAGGUAGCGCUAGGGGAACCUGGCGCUGGAUCACCUCCUUAUACGAUA
rnacentral:rRNA from 1 species